rnacentral:rRNA from 1 species
UACGGAGGAUCCGAGCGUUAUCCGGAUUUAUUGGGCGUAAAGCGAGCGCAGGCGGUUCCUUAAGUCUGAUGUGAAAGCCCACGGCUCAACCGUGGAAGGUCAUUGGAAACUGGGGAACUUGAGUGCAGAAGAGGAGAGUGGAAUUCCAUGUGUAGCGGUGAAAUGCGUAGAUAUAUGGAGGAACACCAGUGGCGAAGGCGACUCUCUGGUCUGUAACUGACGCUGAGGCUCGAAAGCAUGGGGAGCAAACAGGA